rnacentral:rRNA from 1 species
UACGUAGGGUGCAAGCGUUAAUCGGAAUUACUGGGCGUAAAGCGUGCGCAGGCGGUUAUGUAAGACAGUUGUGAAAUCCCCGGGCUCAACCCUGGGAACUGCAUCUGUGACUGCAUCGCUGGAGUGCGGCAGAGGGGGAUGGAAUUCCGCGUGUAGCAGUGAAAUGCGUAGAGAUGUGGAGGAACACCGAUGGCGAAGGCAGCCCCCUGGGUCAAGAUUGACGCUCAUGCACGAAAGCGUGGGGAGCAAACAGG